rnacentral:rRNA from 1 species
CUGCGCGUGCCUAAUACAUGCAAGUCGAGCGGACAGAAGGGAGCUUGCUCCCGGAUGUUAGCGGCGGACGGGUGAGUAACACGUGGGUAACCUGCCUGUAAGACUGGGAUAACUCCGGGAAACCGGAGCUAAUACCGGAUAGUUCCUUGAACCGCAUGGUUCAAGGAUGAAAGACGGUUUCGGCUGUCACUUACAGGAUGGGACCCGCGCGCAUUAGCUAGUUGGGUGGGGUAAUGGCUUACCAGGCGACGAUGCGUAGCGACUGGAGGGGGGAAU